CGAAGGGUUGCCAGUGUCUAGAGGCAAAAAUGUGUUGCUCGUAGUGGUUGAUUGCUUCUCCAAAUUUGCUCACUUCCUUCCCCUUUCACGCCCAUACACAGCUGUAAGUGUGGCGAGAGUAUUCUUUGAUCACAUCUUCAAGUUACAUGGUUUACCUGAAACUAUGGUUAGUGAUCGUGAUGUUACAUUUACAAGUUCCUUCUGGACUGAAUUAUUUCAAUUGAGUGGAACUAAAUUAUCUUUUAGCUCAGCAUAUCACCCACUCCGAUGGCCAAACGGAAGUGGUUAACAGGACAGUAGAGAUGUAUCUUCAUUGUUUUACUAGUGAACAUCCAACCAAAUGGAUGGAUUGGUUAUCUUGG
rnacentral:misc_RNA from 1 species